CAGAGAGGUGGGCAACUACCACUCAGGGCCGGAAAGCUGUCCAAACUCGGUCAUUUAGAGGAAGUAAAAGUCGUAACAAGGUCUCCGUUGGUGAACCAGCGG
rnacentral:rRNA from 1 species